CAGUAGCCGCGGUAAUACGUAGGGUGCGAGCGUUAAUCGGAAUUACUGGGCGUAAAGCGUGCGCAGGCGGUUAUAUAAGACAGAUGUGAAAUCCCCGGGCUCAACCUGGGACUUGCAUUUGUGACUGUAUAGCUAGAGUACGGUAGAGGGGGAUGGAAUUCCGCGUGUAGCAGUGAAAUGCGUAGAUAUGCGGAGGAACACCGAUGGCGAAGGCAAUCCCCUGGACCUGUACUGACGCUCAUGCACGAAAGCGUGGGGAGCAAACAGGAUUAGAUACCCCUGUAGUCCCUGUCUCUUAUAA
rnacentral:rRNA from 1 species